rnacentral:rRNA from 1 species
CGGGACGGGUGAGUAAUGUCUGGGAAACGUGCCCCGAUGGAGGGGGAUAACUACUGGAACGGUAGCUAAUACCGCAUAACGUCGCAAGACCAAAGAGGGGGGACUACGGGCCUCUUGCCAUCGGAUGUGCCCAGAUGGGAUUAGCUAGUAGGUGGGGUAACGGCUCACCUAGGCGACGAUCCCUAGCUGGUCUGAGAGGAUGACCAGCCACACUGGAACUGAGACACGGUCCAG